rnacentral:rRNA from 1 species
GAUGAACGCUAGCGGCAGGCUUAACACAUGCAAGUCGGGGGGUAUGGUUCUUCGGAACCAGAGACCGGCGCACGGGUGCGUAACGCGUAUGCAAUCUACCUUUUACAGAGGGAUAGCCCAGAGAAAUUUGGAUUAAUACCUCAUAGUAUAACAUGACCGCAUGGUCGAGUUAUUAAAGUCACAACGGUAAAAGAUGAGCA